CCCGGCUCCCUGUUUUUGCAGAGGGGGCCCAGCAGACUGCAGCAGUACUUUACAGCUCUUACAGCUCUCUAACUCACGCUCGCCCCCUCUGCAAAUACAGGGAGUCGGGGGCCCCACAAUGCCACCGGACCACCAGUGAUGGAAUCUCCCCCCUCCCUGAACCAGGUAAGAAGCAGGGAAGAGGGAAUAACCUUUAUUAGAUUUAAUGUGGGGGGAAGGGAAAAUGCUCCAUUUGCACAACAUUCAUACACUAGUAAACACACACACACUACACUGACACACACUCUGCAUUCAUUAAACUAACACACACUCUGCAUUCAUUACACUAACACACACUCUGUAUUCACUACACUGACACACACUCUGCAUUCACUACACUGACACACACACUGCAUUCACUACCCUGACACACACUCUGCAUUCACUACCCUGACACACACUCUGCAUUCACUACCCUGACACACACUCUGCAUUCACUACACUGACACACACUCUGCAUUCAUUACACUGACACACACUCUGCAUUCACUACACUGACACACACUCUGAUUUCUGGUGGCAGCCCUGCUGGUGACUAUAGUGUCCCUUUAAAUGUUUUUAUCUCCUGCUCUGUAAAUUGAAUGUUGGUCACAUGCAGGAGUCUCCUGCAGGGUCUAAAAGGCUAUCAACAGAGCAGGAGAUGAGAAAUUCUAAAUAAACAGAAAUUCCAAUAAAGGAAGUGUAAACAUUAGAUAAUUAUUUGCAGGAAGUGUUAAGGAAGGCUGUGUAAGUCACAUACAGGGAGGUGUGACUAGGGCUGCAUAAACAAAGUGAUUUAAAUCCUAAAUGGCAGAGGAUUGAGCAGUGAGUCUGCAGAGGCAAGAUCUAUACACCAAAAC